rnacentral:lncRNA from 1 species
CCUAUUAAUACCUGUCAAUUUUGAGGUACCCUAAAACCUAGACCUUAUCCCACAAAUAAAAGAUCUUGUGCAAGAAAACAGCUUAUAGACUUCCACCUACUUAGCCAUCUGUAGACAUUCCGUUUCAGGACCAUUAACAUCUUCCACAUCAGAUGAGGCUCUCAUUCCCCACAAGCACUUGCCACCAGGGACACUGCACUUCGGGAACAAAGCCCCCAUAGCUGGCCAUUGCAACUUGGUGGCGGAACCUCAUAUUAAUUCUUGCUAGGCUCAGUGAUGAUUGUUGGAGAAUUGUAUGCUCCUCGGCCAGGGCCAGGAUCCUACAACACUAUCUCUAAGCCUUAUCUCCAACCUGAGAGAACUUACUUCUGGACUUAUUCCUGUCCUGUGAACAGGGCUGGAGUGAGCCUUCCAAAGAUGCUGGACCAAGACCAUGCUGGAGCAUAGGGUACCAGAAGCAUUGUUGGCCCAGACAGGGUUUGGACACAGCAACUGGAAGCAGGUAACGAGCAAAAACAGAAUGAAAUAUUCACCAAUCUUUGAUUUCAAAAAACAUCUGAAUUCUGCCCCUGGCUCUGAAUCCUCAUUGAAAGAUUAUUGUUUGGGAAAGCUCUGGCCUGCUUUCCAGAGCUUUCUUUUCAGAUCCAUUUCUUAGAGUUCAGAUUUGCCAGUGGAGAUGCCUAGAUCAAUCUGGGUACCAACUGAGUUGAGGACAUCUAGUAAAGGACAGUGGGUACUGUUGGGGAACUGUCGGUCUCUGCAUCACAUACACUGCCCAGCCAGCCUGCUGUUUGAAGACCACUUUGUCAGCAAGUCUCACGAGGCUCCUUGGGAUUGGGUCUCACCAGGGUCUCAUGUAGCUCAAUUAGCAAGAGGUUCCUUUACUGCUGGAACAAAAGGUUCAUUUGCUGCUGGGACUAUAUAUACAACCUGCGUUCUCCAACUGCUUCUUGGUUGGAUAAGACUUUUCAGAUUUUACCAGGCUUUACACACCAUCCAAGGCAAUUGUAUUUAUUUGCUUUAGUCUCUACCUUAUCAGAUUCUUGUGAAUACUGUCCCAGUUGCAUCACCCUUCUCUCAGUAUUAAUAACUAGAAAUAAAAAAUCUAUAGUAGGAAAGUUCACUACCUCCAAGGACUCUUGGGUCUAGCGAAGGGGUCAACUUUUUCUGUAGAGGAAAUGUCUUAGGAUUUGUGGGCCAUAUAGCCUGUGUUUAACUGCUCAGCAUUGCAAAAGCAGACCUAACUAAUACAGAAACACAUAAACAUGGCUAUGUCCUAAUAAAACUUUAUUUAUGGAUACUGGAAUUUGAAUUUCAUAUGGUUUUCACAUGUUACAAAAUACUAUUUUGAUUUUGUUUGAUUGUUUAAAAACUUGAAAAGCCAUUCUUAGAUUUCUUAGCUUAUACACCAGAGAAAAACAGAUGGUGGGCCAGGUUUGGCCCAUGGACCAUAGUUUGCCUACCCUUUGUCCAAUGUAUAUAAAGUGUGUAUAUAAAAUGACAGAUGAUUGACCCCUUCCCAUCAAUAACGUUGUUAAUGUCGUAUUGAUGCAGCAGUGUCUGACAGUUUACAAAUGGAAAUUGUGGAAUAUUGAAGGGAAUCUUUACAAUGCCAGGAGAGUGAACUAGAACUGAAUGAUUAACUAGUUAAUUUCAACCGUAUUGACUAAAAAUGAGAUAAACACAGAUUAAUAUCUAUAUUAUGCCCUUAUAAUAUCUCAGAAACAGUUUGGGCCAUACUGCAAAUAGUUCUAAGUUGCAACCAUGGUAUUUAUAAUCUAGCCAGUCAAAUUUCCCUUGAAUCCAGGAGUGAUUAACUCCUAUAGCUGCUGAAAAAAUGCAUCUGAAAGAAGUCUGUGUUAAUUCAACACGUUUUUAUCAAGUGACUUUAUGUGCCAGACACUGUCCUAUGUGCUGGGGUGCAGCAAUGGACCAAACAGACACAGGCCUUAGAUCUGACAGUCUGCAAUCUAAUUAUGUCAUUAUUCUUCAUUUUUAUAGAACUCCUCUUCCAUGUGCUCACACUAACUCAUUGUUCAUUGAAUACCCGGCAACAGGUCUGACCUUUGCCAGAGACCUCUGUGCUGCGGUCAUGAAGCCUCUCCAACUGCAUGAAUAAUUUGAGGACUAUAUGUUCCACUUAAAUUUUAUUAUCCUUUAGACAGAUCUGUAUUGGUAGAAAAAACGCUGGCAGUGUUGGAAGUGUAAAUUGGCAACAGCUUUCUGAAAAGCAAUUUGGCAGUAUCUAUCAGGAGGUUUAAAAAUGUUUAUAUCUUCUGAUCCUCUAAUUUUGCUUCUGGGACUCUUUCCUAAAGAAAUAGUCUAAAAUGUGGGCAGAAUUUAUGCUUAACAAUCCAGAAGUCCAACUGUAGAAAAUUGGCUAAAUAAAUUACAGUAUGACCAUACAAUAGACUAUUAUGUAGUCAUUAUAAUUAAUGUUUAUGAAUAGUUAAAAGAGCAUGGCAAAAUGCUUAUAAUGUUAAAUGAAAAGAGUGGUACACAGGAUAGUAUAUAUAAAUCCAAAGAUGUUUCUUUUUAAAUGACUGAAACAGGUAUGCUGACUCUGGGUGGUUGGGGUAUAAGUGUUUUUUUUAAAUUUUUUUGCUUCUUCUCUUUUAAAAAUUUCUCCAAAAUAUUACCACUUUUACUAUCAGAAUAAAAUGGUAGCACCAAAAGGUGUCAAUGGAGACAGGCCAAACCUCUAGUUUGGUCCAUGAACAAUAAACUGGCCAGGUGGACACGGAAGCAUUAUGAUACUGAAUUGGUAGCAAGAGUGGGACAGAAGGGGAAAGGGCCUGCCAAGGAGAAGGCGAGUGACCAGAAUCCCUACAGAAAAACCAAGGUGAGAGAAGUUAACCAUGAGUGGCAUGUUCCUGUGGCAUAAUCUUAGGUAAAUAAAAGAACACAUAAAUCGAGUAUGUUCUGACAAUGGGAAAGGAUAUGGAAUACUCUCCCAAGCAAAAUUAACCUCAUUCUUGUAUUCUUUCAUACAAAGUGAAUAUUCUCAAGAUGGAUUUUAUCACAGUUGAUUCUCUGAAGAAUCCUUGAGCCUCCCAUAUCAUUUUUUUAAGGAUAGGAAUGGCUUUUGAUGUGCCAAGCUCUACCUCCUCCCACACUAGGACAUUCAAGCAACACGGAUGUACAUGGGAAUAUUUGGUAUUCCACACUGAUAAUUCCACAGCAUGUCAUUAGUCAUCCUAAUGUUGUAACUUGCAAAAAUAAAGUUUGCAAAUGUUAUUUUGAU